rnacentral:rRNA from 1 species
AAGAAAUUAACGAAGAUUUCCCUAGUAACGGCGAGUGAAAAGGAAAUAGUUCAGCGCUGAAUCCUUUAGUCUACGAUUAAAGGACCUGUAGCGUUAAGGAGAGCCUAUUCGAACGGUCUAGCGUUUCGGAAACUCCCUCGAACGGGAUCCCGAAGCGGGUGCGAGGCCCGUAACGAGGCGUAGCCGUUCGAUUCGAGCCUCCGUCGAGUCGGGUUGCUUGAGAGUGCAGCCCUAAGUCGAAGGUAAACCCCUUCUAAAACUAAAUAUGACCACAAGACCGAUAGCGAACAAGUACCGCGAGGGAAAGUUGAAAAGAACUUUGAAGAGAGAGUUCAAAAGGGCGUGAAACCGCUUAGAAUAAAACGGACGGAGCCGUCAGGAGCCCUCGAGACUCAGUCGUCUAGUUAUAGGCGAAAGUAUUCGCGUUCGACGAACGUAAAAGUCGUCGUCGCGGUAUUAGUACGCCGAUAGUCGACGCAUUUCUCGAGGGUGAGCACCGCAACCGAUACGAAAGGCUAGCGAGGUGAUCGAAUUGAGGUCUAACGUUCUCGUGACGUUAGUUACCAGUUCGAUCGCGCUUCAUUCGCUAGACCGCAGUAUGUAUCGAGCGCUAAUCAAUAGACUAAUACGUCGACCGAAAUUGGUUCGUCGAAACGGUGGAUAAUCGGCUAGUCGAUCGGUUGCCUGCUCGCAGGCGCCAGUCUUCGUAAAUGUCGGUUUAGAAGCCGUCGGCGACUCCGACGUAUAGGCGUUAGCGGUGUCAGAGUCGGUCGCCCGUCCGACCCGUCUUGAAACACGGACCAAGGAGUCUAACAUAUGCGCGAGCCAAUAGGUGGAAAACCUAAAGGCGCAAUAAAAGUAAAAGUCAUUCUUCUAGAUGACCGAGGUACGAUCCUAGUUCUCAGUAAAACGGGCUAGGCGCAGUACCGUCUCAUCCCUAAGGCACGUCCUAAGGGUGAAGAUAGAGUGCAUACGUUGGGACCCGAAAGAUGGUGAACUAUGCCUGAGCAGAGCGAAGCCAGAGGAAACUCUGGUGGAGGUUCGUAGCGGUUCUGACGUGCAAAUCGAUCGUCAGACUUGGGUAUAGGGGCGAAAGACUAGUCGAACCAUC